AAAUCCCCAUCUCCUCAAACACAGAGGAAAGCUCAGAACCGGCCUCCUAAAAAGACUCAAAGGCAGUCAAACAGUCAAAGGUUAAGACACAAGUUUAAGACUAAGCAGUGAACUGGCUGCAUCCUUGCAGUCCUUUGUUACAUUCCUACAGCAUCAGGUUGAAGCCAGCAGUCUACAGAAUAACAUCACUCCUCGAGCAGACAGGAUCACACCCGAAGCAGUGACAGGAAUCAGAGCAUUGGAUCAAAUCCCCAGGUUCACUAACUUCCUGUUCUGUUUGUCUGUCAGCAUCAGGUGAUUCAAGCGAAGAUGGAUGGUGGUUUGACCGUUCAUCGCUGGUGCGCUUCCUUCUGCAGCUCGCACAAAAAGAGAGAGCUGCAUCUAAGGGAAGAACAAUUAUGAGAGGAGCAAAAGCAAGACCUUGCAGCCCUCAGACAGGAGAACUAUGUGUUAAAGAGCAAGGUUACCAGCUUCAAAGGAGGUGAUGAAAUUGUUCCUCCAGAUUUAGAAUAAGGAGAGUAUAAAUAUUUUCAACUUUCUUUGUGUGUAAUAAACCUGACAUUUUUUACUGACAUAAACAAAAAAAAAUACACUUAAAUCAUUAAUCAUAAUUAUUUUCAUUACAGUUAGCUGCCAUAGUGAAAUAAUUGUGAUAUACAGCCAUAUUAACCUGUAACAAAAAAAAAAAUUUUCACUACAAAA